CGUUUAGGGGUAAACCUGAGAAACCCGAAAGGUCGAAGGAAGAAAUUCAUUCGCGUUUCGACGUGGACGUCUGAUGUUGGCAUGACAAUGGGCGCGUUUAUACGCUCGUUGCAUGCCUCGUUUUUCGGUUCUGCGGCGAACGCGUGCACUUUUCUUCUGGUAGAACGUCGCGAUCCGUUGGGUGUCGGUCUACGAUUUGUAGUGGAGCUCAAAUGUUACACUGCAGUCUUCGGGCUGUACGUGGACACGUUUGAACCUAUAUUUCUCUGACCGACUUGCCUGACGGUAUACGAACGGUUUGGGGUCGCUCUAGGAGCGUUCGGCUCUGAGCAAGCGCGCCAGUUGUUUCGAUGACCGGACUUUGUGCUGAUCGCGAUCACUGGUGACUGUUGGCUCGGAUGUUCUUGAACUGACCUGACUCAAUCCUAAAAAACCGAUCAGCGGCGCUAUAGCUUUGGGUACUUUCAGGACCCGUCUUGAAACACGGACCAAGGAGUCUAGCAUGUACGCAAGUCAUUGGGAUUAAUUAAACCUAAAGGCGAAAUGAAAGUGAAAAUUCUCCUUGUGGGAAUAGAGGGAGGACGAAUAGUUUACCCGUUAACGGUGGCUAAUCUGCACUCCCGGGGCGUCUCAUUCUCAUUGCGAGAAGAGGCGCACCAAGAGCGUACACGCUGGGACCCGAAAGAUGGUGAACUAUGCCUGGUCAGGAUGAAGUCAGGGGAAACCCUGAUGGAGGUCCGUAGCGAUUCUGACGUGCAAAUCGAUCGUCGGAACUGGGUAUAGGGGCGAAAGACUAAUCGAACCAUC
rnacentral:rRNA from 1 species